UUUUUUUUUUUUUUUUUUUUUUUUUUUUUUUUUUUUUUUUUAAGGAAAACGGGUAGGUUUUUCUUUAGUCAGAUUUAUGACUUCAACUGCAUGAGGUCCGUCGGGCUUCAUGGGAAUGUCGUCGAUUGAAGAGUUCAUAUCCAAAUUGAUUUGAUUGGCUCGGAACAAAAAGUAGUUUGUAUGGAUAAGCUCACUUUCGAUUCUCUUUGGAAAAGUCAUGUCCAUGGGGCAUUUUGUGCUUCAAGACAUAAUUUGAAUGGUGAGUAAUUAUCUAGAAAGAAAGCGGGCA
rnacentral:lncRNA from 1 species